rnacentral:pre_miRNA from 1 species
GUUUUACUUCCUCUGUUCGGAAUUACUUGUCGCGAAAAUGGAUGUAUCUAGACGUAUUUUAGAUACAUCCAUUUUCGCGACAAGUAAUUCCGAACAGAGGGAGUAAUAG